CCUGGCUUUACAUCAGUAUUAUCUGUGGUAAUUUUUAAAACUCUUGCUUAUUGACUAUUUCUAUUAAUAGGGCAAUCUGAUUUUUUUCAUUGGAGGAAAGAUUUGUAUAAUUUUCCAAACUAUAUUGUUAAGACAACUGUGCUUCAUAGGUGUCCCCAGACUUGGGGAUGUCUGACUGUGUAAUCUCUUUUUCCCUGGAUAUUUCUUUGGUUUCUUCCCAUGCAAGCUUCAAGAUUGGGAACAUCUGAAAUUGGGAACAUUUUCAACUUCUUCCUUCUUUUUCUUCUCCACUUCCAAGAGUCCAUAUUCAAUGGCUGAUAAUCACAUUCUGCACAACAAGAUGCUCAACCCAAGAGGGACUUGAAGGAACAGAAACUGACAAAAACCCAGCAGAUUCAAGUCUACUUUCUCAGGCUCUCUCUCUAGAGCAGAAAGUUGUCUCUGGUGCAGCUGCCCGGCCAAGGACUGUAGUUCCCAGCUUCCUUUGCAUCUAGAUGGAACCACGUGACUGUUGUGACCAGUGAAAUGGGAGCAGAAGUAAUAUGGGUCACUUGGAAGCCAAGACAGUGAAGAAGCAGGUGCUGAGGAUGCCGAGCACUUCCCUGGACCAAAUGCUCCAAUGUGCAUUACUGCAUUACUUCCUCUUAAAGGAGGGUUCCAUGGGCCCACUGUCUACCAAAUGGCCUUGGGAAUGGUCUGCAGGAAUUGGCUUGGUUGAGGGACUAGAGUUCAUGGAUUGCACCAAUAAGGUCUGUGGGUUCGCUCAGCUACGCUUGCUCACCUCCAGGGGUAAACACAUUGAGAGGCAUCUGCGAGCUGCUGAGAAGGACGUUCUCUCUCAGGUUUGCCAACCAAAUAAUCACAGCCCAUGACAAUUCAGCCUUUACGUUCAAGGUUCCGUAGAUACAAACUGACUCAAUUCAUUAAGCAUUUGCUGGG
rnacentral:lncRNA from 1 species